GACGAACGCUGGCGGCGUGCCUAAUACAUGCAAGUCGAGCGCGGGAAGCUUGCGGAAUCCUUCGGGAGGAAGUGAGCGGACCGGGCGGCGGACGGGUGAGUAACACGUGGGCAACCUGCCCGUAAGACGGGGAUAACCCCGGGAAACCGGGGCUAAUACCGGAUAGGUGACCUUUCUGCAUGGAGGGGUCAUGAAAGGCGGCGGAAGCCGUCGCUUACGGAGGGGCCCGCGGCGCAUUAGCUAGUUGGUGAGGGAAGGGCUCACCAAGGCGACGAUGCGUAGCCGGCCUGAGAGGGUGAACGGCCACACUGGGACUGAGACACGGCCCAGACUCCUACGGGAGGCAGCAGUAGGGAAUCUUCCGCAAUGGACGGAAGUCUGACGGAGCAACGCCGCGUGAGUGAGGAGGGCCUUCGGGUCGUAAAGCUCUGUUGUUCGUGAAGAAGGGGUUGGCCAGGAAAUGGGCCGACAUUGACGGUAAGCG
rnacentral:rRNA from 1 species